GAUGAACGCUGGCGGCGUGCCUAAUACAUGCAAGUCGAGCGAACAGACGAGGAGCUUGCUCCUCUGACGUUAGCGGCGGACGGGUGAGUAACACGUGGAUAACCUAUCUAUAAGACUGGGAUAACUUCGGGAAACCGGAGCUAAUACCGGAUAAUAUAUUUAACCGCAUGGUUCAAUAGUGAAAUACGGUUUUGCAGUUACUUAUAGAUGGAUUCGCGCCGCAUUAGCUAGUUGGUAAGGUAACGGCUUACCAAGGCAACGAUGCGUAGCCGACCUGAGAGGGUGAUCGGCCACACUGGAGCUGAGACACGGUCCAGACUCCUACGGGAGGCAGCAGUAGGGAAUCUUCCGCAAGGGGCAGAAGCCUGACGGAGCAACGCCGCGUGAGUGAUGAAGGUCUUCGGAUCGUAAAACUCUAUUAUUAGGGAAGAACAAAUGUGUAAGUAACUAUGCACGUCUUGACGGUACCUAAUCAGAAAGCCACGGCUAACUACGUG
rnacentral:rRNA from 1 species